rnacentral:rRNA from 1 species
GUGUGGAAUAUUGGACAAUGGGGGGAACCCUGAUCCAGCCAUGCCGCGUGUGUGAUGAAGGCCUUUUGGUUGUAAAGCACUUUAAGCGAGGAGGAGGCUACCGAGAUUAAUACUCUUGGAUAGUGGACGUUACUCGCAGAAUAAGCACCGGCUAACUCUGUGCCAGCAGCCGCGGUAAUACAGAGGGUGCAAGCGUUAAUCGGAUUUACUGGGCGUAAAGCGCGCGUAGGUGGCCAAUUAAGUCAAAUGUGAAAUCCCCGAGAUUAACUUGGGAAUUGCAUUCGAUACUGGUUGGCUAGAGUAUGGGAGAGGAUGGUAGAAUUCCAGGUGUAGCGGUGAAAUGCGUAGAGAUCUGGAGGAAUACCGAUGGCGAAGGCAGCCAUCUGGCCUAAUACUGACACUGAGGUGCGAAAGCUAGGGGAGCAAACGGGAUUAGAAACCCGGGUAGUCC